GGUGAGUUGUCCCCAAACCACCAAAAUCCACAAUUCUCCACAUUGCAAACCCCCAAAAAGCAAAAUGGUGCUGCCUUGCGUACAAACAGUCUCGGCUCCGGCACACGCACACCCCCGCUCGAGCGUAAAAGUAAGUUUAGUGCUUUGGGGCGAUUCUUUAAACCAUGGAAAUGGCGACGGAAAAAGAAGAGUGAAAAAUUCGAAGCAGCUUCAAAGUCACUUGAACGCAAAAUAUCAGUACGUGCCAAUCGUGAGGAGCUUGUACAAAAGGGUAUACUGCUGCCAGAGAGUCCACUGGGGAAUAUACAAGAACCAGGUG